rnacentral:rRNA from 1 species
AGAGCGAACGCUGGCGGCAGGCCUAACACAUGCAAGUCGAACGGACCCUUCGGGGUUAGUGGCGGACGGGUGAGUAACACGUGGGAACGUGCCUUUUGGUUCGGAAUAGCUCCUGGAAACGGGUGGUAAUGCCGAAUGUGCCCUUCGGGGGAAAGAUUUAUCGCCAUUAGAGCGGCCCGCGUCUGAUUAGCUAGUUGGUAAGGUAAUGGCUUACCAAGGCGACGAUCAGUAGCUGGUCUGAGAGGAUGACCAGCCACAUUGGGACUGAGACACGGCCCAAACUCCUACGGGAGGCAGCAGUGGGGAAUCUUGCGCAAUGGGCGAAAGCCUGACGCAGCCAUGCCGCGUGAAUGAUGAAGGUCUAGGAUGUAAAAUCUUUCACCGGGACAUAAUGACGGUACCCGGAGAAGAAGCCCCGGCUAACUUCGUGCCAGCAGCCGC